GGGACACACACACCAAAUCAUGACAUGUCUUUAGCUACCAUUAUCUUACUGCCUAAACCCGAUAGAGACCCACUCCUCCCUGAGAGUUAUCGACCCAUAUCUCUCAUUAACCAUGACAUGAAAAUUCUAGCCAAAAUACAGGCGAAUAGAAUUAACCCAUAUCUAGCAAAUCUAGUCGACCCGGACCAGGUAGGCUUUAUUCCCGGUAGGCAAUUAUUUGAGAAUACUCGCAAAAAUAUCGAUCUCAUAUGGAGACAGGCAACCCUGAAUACCC